GCGCUGACUUGGGCAGCUCAUCUACUAAAAUCAGAGGGACACAGAGAUUAGUGCGGUCCCCGUGCAAGGAUGACGUGCAAAUUUGUGAAGCGUUUCAUAUUUCU
rnacentral:snRNA from 1 species